ACGCUCAGACGUUUUGUACAGAAUAAAACGGUGGUUAAUUAAAGUUUAAAAUCUUCAUCUCCUUUUCUGUGAAAGUAAUAACUUCCGCAGGAAAAACUUACAUUAACUUAUUUGUUGCCAUGAGAAAUUCAUUAGUGCGACCUGACAGAAUACAGAAAUGGUCAUCAGUAACUUGUCGAUAUGGACAUACUUGUACAGAUAAAUGAGGUACGGGAACUCCUGGGUGACCUGCCCACAGAGAUGCCAGGCUUCUUGACGGACUCCACCAUCCGCCGCUUCCUCCGUACUAGAAACUGGAGCACG
rnacentral:lncRNA from 1 species